AUAGAUAUUAGUUAAUAGUUGACUUAAUAAUUCUAGAUCUAAAUAUAUAUAAUUUAAUUUAUAAAGAUUAAUAUAAACUUUUUUAUUAUAAUAUUUAAGUAUUAAAUUAUUUAAACUAUUAUUAUCAUUAUUUAAUAAAUUAAUUAUUUGAUUAUUAAUACUUAUUAUAUAAUUAUUAUAUAAUUUACUUAAUUCAUCAUUAUUAAUAUUUAUA
rnacentral:tRNA from 1 species